CAAGGCAAUUCCAAUAAACUUUGAAGAGAAAAUGCCAUCUGUAUCCAGAAAAAGAACUAUGGAAUUUGAAUGUGGAUCAACACAUGCUAUGUUCACAUCUUUUUUCUGUUUUUUUUUCCUCUUGUGGUUUUUCCAUUUUGAGAAUUUUUCUCUCCCAAUAUGAUUCAUAAAGAAAUGUGUAUUAAAAAGUUAAUAUAUAUGUAUAAUCAGAAAAAAUAAAACAAGUAAAUGAUUAAAAAAAGAUGGUUUUUCAGUGGGAUGGAAUGGGGAUGAAAUGGGUAUGAUGAGAAAUGUAAAAAUAAGAAAAUUAUACAUCAGGGGCAGCUAGUUGGUGCAGUGGAUAGAGCAUCAUCCCUGAAUUCAGAAGGACCUGAGUUCAAUUCUGACCUCAGACACUUAACACUUCCUAGCUGUGUGACCCUGGACAAGUCACUUAACCAAUUGCCACUGUCAAAAAAUAUGCAUCAAAUUUUGUUUAAAUAAAAAGGAAAGCAAAAAAAAAAGCUUCUGUCUUCAUGAAAUAUAUAUUUUACUCUGGAAAUAGAAUAUAUAAAUACAAAUAUACCCAUAAUUUGAAAAGAAUGUAGCAAAUCUUAUUGACUAUAGGGUUCAGGAAAUGCUGUACCAAAGGAAAAGAUAUAUACGUUGAAUAGGUAUUGACUCUACUCUGAGGUGAUAAAGAAGUACAUUUGGGCCAUGGGGGAUGACUUAUGCAAAAGGCACCAACGUGGAAGAUGGAAUCCCAAUUUUUGAGGGGAUAAGUUAGACCAAUUCAAUAGCAAUGAGGAUUUCAUGAUGGUAGAAUUAUGUACAAUAAACCUGGAAUGGUAGACUGGGACCAAAUGAAGAAGGAUUUUAAAUAGUAAGCUAAAUAGUUUACCAGAGGCAAUAGUGAGCCACUGAAGUUUCUCUACCAGGUGAGUGACAUGGUUAGACCUGAAGGAGCAGAGAUUCAGUUUGGGGCAUCAGUAAUGGAUCAAAAAUAUAGAAAAUAUUAUAAGAGCUGACCAUUUUGUAUGGUAACUCAUUUCCCGAAAGCUUUGUUCUUUUAUCAACUACUUAUAUUUUCUCUCCCCGCCCCCUAAUUAGUAAAUUAGUAAAUUAACAUUCCAAUGUAAUCCCAGUCUGUUUUUGAUAUGACCCUUCCUUAUUUAGCUAUAAUAUAUAUGGCAAUGAUUUUGAACACUUUCAUUUUUGUAAUUAACUAUAGAAAUUUCUGGCACAGUGGUUAGAAUGCUGGGCUUGGAGUUAUAGACAACUCAUCUUUGUGAGUUCAAGUUUUAUUUCAGAUAAUUACUAGUUGUGCGACCCUGGGCUAGUCACUUUACCUCGUUUACUUCAGUUUUCUCACCUAUAAAAUGAGCUGGAAAGAAAUGGCAAAUCCUUUCAAUAUUUCUGCCAAAAAACCUCAAAAUGGGGUAACAAAGAAUUGGACACAACUGAAAUGACUGAGCAACAAAACAGAAAUUUCCCCCAAUUUUAAAAACUGCAUUGUUUAUUCAAAGAAAAAAAAAGUGCCUUUUGCCCCUCCCCUUUCAGGUUUUACCCUACCCCAGCUGGCAACAUUAAAUGCUUUUUGACAUUUGAAACAAUAUUUAUUUUCUUAAAAUAUACUAUAUACACAUAUAAUAAAGGAUAUCAAAGAAUUGUUAAUAGUCAUUAUAUCAAGGAAAUAGAAACAGAAUUAUGUAUUUAAAAUAGAAAGUUAAUCCUGUUAGUUUGAAAAUUAUUCCUAUAUAAAAUAAAGUGAUUGAACAUCACAUUUUUUUUUGUUUUAUGUGUAUUGCCUCUUUUUAGACCUCAGAAAUCUGAUACAACAUUGAAAAAUAUUAGAAUCAAAAUAAAGAGUCCUAAAUUUCUAGCCUAUAUUUAUUGGGGCUGUUUCUAACUUAUGUCUUCUAACUCACUCCCCUUUGCCCUCUUCAAAUUUACACAGAGGAUACCUUUGGAAUCUAUUUGACUCGGUAAAAUUUAAAAUCCAGUUUCCUUUAAAAAGUAGAAUUUUGUUCUUUCUAAUUUAAAAAAAUAUCAAUACUAAUAUCAUGGUCCUGGUUUGUUGUAAAUUUUUUUCCCAUUUUUAAUAGACUUUCAUUGAAAGCUUUUUUUUUUUUUUUUUUUUAAUAAUACCUGCAUUUCCCUUUGCAUCCUUCCCCUCUCUCAGGGAAUCAUCCCUUAUAGCAAAGAAACUUAUUUAAAGAAAAAAGAGGAAGAAGAGAAAAAAAAUCAGUCAAAAUGAUCAAUACUUUGAAAAAAAUUCACAUUGUAUACAAUAUUCUACACCUUUGCAAAGGAGUGGAUGAGGUAUUUUAUUUUUUUCUUUGGGUGUAAACUUGUCCUUUGUAAUUUUGCAAGAUUAAUUUAUUAUUAAUUUAUUAUGGUUAUUCUUUCCAUUUAAGAUGUUGUAGUUAUUGUAGAUAUUUUUUCUUGGCUCUACUACUUUUAUUUUGCAUCAGUUCAUGUAAGUUCAUGUUUUUCUGUUCAUGUUUCAUCUUUGGCUCCUCUUAUCACAUAUUAAUAUUCCAUAACAUUAAUGUGUUAAAAUAACAAUAAUUUAGUUAUCAUUUCUCAAUAGGGAACAUCUAUUUUUAUGUCCUGUUCUUUAUUACUGGUAAAAAUUCUGUAAUAAAUAUUAUGCUGUAUAUGGAGCCUUUCAUUUUGUCACCUAUCUCCUAGUGGUACAAAUCUAAUCGAGAAAUUUUGGUGUUAAUGUUCAAAGCUACUUUAUUUUAGCUACUUUAUUUGUAUAAUUUCAAAUUAUUCUGAAGAAUGGUUAUACUAAUUACCAGCUCUACCAAAAAUGAACAUAUUUGUAUUUUGUGGAAUGUUUUACAAUAUGAAAUUUUGAUCACUUUUGGACCAGAUCAAGAAGCUAGUAACAAGGCAUUUCCUCAUUUAAAUAAGCAAACCAUUUGUCUUUGGAUAUAUCCAAAUGCAGAUUCUAUCAUGGUAAAUUUUAAAUCAAAGUUGCAAUAUAGAGCCUGAUGAAGUUAAAUCCUUCUUUACCACAAGAUUGAAUUUAAUACACAACCCUGAUCUGUUUGCUGGAUGGGAAUUUUGGAGGUGAGAAUAACUGUGCUAAACUCAGGGAUCAGACUUUGGGAAUCAAACAUUGAUGUGCUUAAUACAGUAAGAAAAUGUUCAUUUGAAUAGUAGAGCUCACCAGAUAAAUGAAAAGACAAGUAAGGAGAUUGGGAAUAAAGCACAUGGAAUAGGCAUGUAAUGGGGCCUGUGAUACAAAGCAAUUCUAUACACCAAAUUUGUUGCCUCUCUCCUUUUUUCCUUCUGAUUUUCAAUUGUCCUGAAAAGAAAACAAGCAUCAGAAAAGGAAGUAAUUGGAUGACUACACUGAGAAAUCUUAUGAAAGACCGAAGACAGACAGAUAUACUUCCAUUUAGUAUCUUCUAUGAAUGCUUAUAGGGGAAAAGAAAUUGUGGUAAAUUUGCCCUAUUAAAGUGAACCUUGAGUGAGGGUUCAUUUUGGAUUUUAAAAUGAUACUUGAUAUUUGUAUUUCAAACACUUCAGUGUUUGCAAAAUGCUUCUCCUAUCUGAAUGCCACAAUAGCCCUGGAGGUGAUAUUAUUAUUCCUUUUUUACAUAAUGGGGAAAUGAGGUCAAGGAGGUUAAGUAUUCAGGAUCUUACAACUAGUAAGGGUUCAACAUAAGAGUUAAAAUGCAAGGCCUUUAGAUUCUAGGAUCAAGACUUACAUUCUACUAUUGUAAAUUGCUGAAAAUUUUCAAAGAAGUUUGCAAUCUUUCCAUAGGCAGGGUCUGAACAGUGAGUUCUAAAAGUAUUAGGUACUUAAUAAAUAUUUAUUGAUUGAAAAUAAAAAGCUAUCCCAUGAGAGAAUACUUAGUACUUCUUUAAGGAACUGUUUAAUGUUUUCUGGACCUGUAGCUAACAGAGCAUAGGAAUUCAUGCUGUAUGUCACCGUCAUAUCCUCGGUUACAUCCAUUAAAAACAAAUGGUGCCUGGACUAAUAUAAUUAGUACUGGGAGAGUAAGUAUAAUACAAACCAUUGUGAGAGGGAAUAGACCCUUUAAAUAAUAUAUGAGACCCACUAUGAACACUCUGCCAUACGAAUCAGGACAACUGAGACUCUGGUUUUGAUGCAGAGAUACUAAGAUACUGACCACUAAUGAUCAAGAAAAAUUUCUAGAGUCUUUUGGAGUACAUGGAAAGAAUUACCACCACAGCUGAUUAAUCCUGAUAUAGGUGGCUAUGUCUUGCUCUCUAGAUGUUCCUUACUCACAAAAGGAGUUUAAUUAGAGGGCAAGAUGCUAGCUGAAGAAUCUGACUAGCAACCAGUCAUACUUUAAAAAAAAUUAUUUGUAGAAUGAAUGAAUAAAUUGUCAAGAAACUCUGGAGUUGGAGUUACUUCAGGAAGAUAAUGUCCUUAAUACAUUGUUCAGAAUAUGCCACGUUGGAGACUGUCAUUAACUUGUCAUCCUAGAAUGUAGCCUCUCCUGAUCCAUGAGGUGAAUAAGUUUAUUCAGCUUCUUUCACUCACUUUUGUUUGGUUCUCACAUUUGAGUUUUAUCAAGGCUCUCUAUAAGACUGGUAGCAGCCUUAUUAUUUUGUACCAGAUCCCGGUGAAAAGAACUUAUUAUAUGCUAGAUAGGAAAUAUUUAUUUUUGGCUUGGUAAUUUUUUUCUUUCCUUUUAAAUAAACAUCAGAGAAACUCAAUGGCAUCUCUGACCUUUGUUUCUUCCAACUUGGUUUCUAUCAAAACAAUUCUACUUUCUCUUUAUUUGGUGUAAUGGUCCAUGAGAGGUUUGUUUGGUCAUUCACUCCCCACUGUUAGAUGGGAACUGAGUUUAGCAAGAAUCCCAAGGGAUAAAUAAAAUAAAGGAGAACAGCAGUCUUUUAAAUUGGCUGGUUUAUGUAGUUAAUUUGAGUAUCAGCCUAGGGAAUAUUUUUAAGAUGUCCCUGUCCAAGCUUCCCUAAGAAUGUGUAUAUGUGGUGACAUUUCCAUGUCACAUAAUUGUGUUUUUUUACUGUCUAAUCUGGCAGUUGAAAGUAUGGAAUCUUCAGGUUGGCUCACAGCUUAUGACUUUCUGAGAAAAAAAGAACAUCUGAUAUUCCAGAAGAGAAGCAGAUGAUGGGAUCAUAAAUUUAGAAAUGUAAGGGAACAUAGUCAUCUUCUUCAAUUGACUCAUCUUACAUAUGAGAAAACUGAGACCUAGAAAGCAAAUGAACUCGCUUGGGCUAGUGAAAUCUGGUAGAGGAAAUAUUGUUGUGUAAAACAAGCUACUUCUUGACAACUUGAUGCUAAAGUAAAUAAACAUUGUGCCAGUGCAUUCAAUUGUCCUGAUGUUUAAUUGUCCCAAUACAUUAAAAAGUCACCACUCUCAGGUUGACCAAAAGAACAUCAAAUUCUUUAAUUUCUUCCCCCAGGUAAGUAAGGUACUUGCUGUGGAAAAAUGGUUCAAUAGAGUACAAACUGGAAAUGCUCUGAUUAGAUGCUUAAUAAUAGACUGCAUUAUUUUAGUAAUGGAUAGAAUAUCUACAUUUAUUAAGUUAUAGGUCGUAAAGUAAAUACUCCUCACUGAAGGGAAAAUCUGGCUGGUUAAAUCCAUCUUUGAUGUAAAUAACUUGUUGGUUAGUAAAAUUCUGAAAAUAAUCAGAAGGCCUGAGUUUGUAUCCUGUCUCAGUCUCUUUUUGCCUGUGUGAAUCUGAGCAAGUUUUUUUUUAAUCUCUCUGGAUCUCAAUUUCCUCAUCUGUAAAAUGAAGGGGUUGGCCUCUAAUGUCCCUUGAAGCUUUAAUUUUGACUUAACUGCCUUUUUGAGAGAACAAAAAGAAGAAACUAGUUAUCCAUUAAAGUUUUGUGGUAAUUUACAGCAGUGAAAUUUUAAAACUGGAAUGCUAGCGUAUACUUAUAUUGUAGUUAUUCACAAGUGAGCAAGAACCUCUUUGGCAGAUUUCCCAAAGAAAUUUUCCCCAAUUAAGACUGGACAAUCAACUAAAGAUGGAAAUACUACUAAACAUAGUCCAUGCUUUCAAGGUGGAUCUUGUUAGUAUUUAAAAGGCAUGUCUAAUUAUUACUCUCCCUGGAGAUUUCACACCUUGAUAUACAAUUUUUCAUAAGGUUUGCCCAAAUCAGCCAGUUUAAAAAGAAAAGAUAUUCAUGCAAAUAGAUUUUUCCCCAAAACAUUCAAAAGCAACCAUCCUCAGCUAGACCAAACUUUGACACCUAUAUCUAGGGAAGCUUUUAAAUUACUCAGUUAUCCAUUUAUUCAUUCAUUCAACUGAUUUUAUAACUCUGUAAGUUUGAGCUAUAUAUUAACUUGCCAUUACUUUGGGAAUCACUCAUUAGUGCUUUUGCCACUAAUUAGCUGUAUGAACUUGACAAAGUCAUGUAACCUCUCUAAAUCUGUUUCCUCAU
rnacentral:lncRNA from 1 species